rnacentral:tRNA from 1 species
AUUUAGAUAGUUUAAAAAAAAUGUUGGCUUGUGGUGCUGAAGAUAUAAUAUUUUAUUCUAAAUC